GUUUCGGUUGGUGGACGAAUAGCGGGAAGCUGGUAUAUUUAUAAGCAACACAUGGAUUCGCCCUGGCAACUCGUACAUAAAAUAGGAAAUGACGUCGUCAACGUCCCCACAGUUAGACAACAGAUCAAUCGCCAUUCAAGUCGAUACAGCGAUCGGCUUCACGCUCACACCAUCCACAAAUCGGCUUCACUGGCUAAUACGACGACCAGGCGAAGACUGAAGAGGCGACAUCCAGGAGACCUUUAGACAAGGGGGAGGCAAAGAACGCGAGUGCUUCUAAACUAGCGAAAACUAUUAGCUGAUCGAACUUAUUAUUCAAAUUUAUAAUUAAUCUUUGCUGUUAUGUUUUAAUGUUAUUUUCAUUGCCUCUGUUAGUUCCUACGUUUUAAAGCCUUUCAAUUGCUUGUUUAACGUAAAAUAAAUUUAUAUUAUAUACAAAAAAAUGAAAA